ANCGGCGAGUGAAGCGGCAAAAGCUCAAAUUUGAAACCCUCGGGAUUGUAAUUUGAAGAUUUGGCAUUGGAGAAAGCUAACCCAAGUUGCUUGGAAUAGUACGUCAUAGAGGGUGACAACCCCGUCUGGCUAACCGUUCUCCAUGUAUUGCCUUAUCAAAGAGUCGAGUUGUUUGGGAAUGCAGCUCAAAGUGGGUGGUAAACUCCAUCUAAAGCUAAAUACUGGUGAGAGACCGAUAGCGAACAAGUACUGUGAAGGAAAGGUGAAAAGAACUUUGAAAAGAGAGUGAAAUAGUAUGUGAAAUUGUUGAUAGGGAAGGAAAUGAGUGGAGAGUGGCCGAGGUUUCAGCCGCCCCUCGUGGGCGGUGUACUGCCGACGCCGAGUCAUCGAUAGCGAGACGAGGGUUACAAAUGGGAGCGCCUUCCGG
rnacentral:rRNA from 1 species